rnacentral:rRNA from 1 species
UACGGAGGAUCCGAGCGUUAUCCGGAUUUAUUGGGUUUAAAGGGUGCGUAGGCGGUUUGAUAAGUUAGAGGUGAAAUGUCGGGGCUCAACCCCGAAACUGCCUCUAAUACUGUUGGACUAGAGAAUAGUUGCGGUAGGCGGAAUGUAUGGUGUAGCGGUGAAAUGCUUAGAGAUCAUACGGAACACCGAUUGCGAAGGCAGCUUACCAAACUAUAUCUGACGUUGAGGCACGAAAGCGGGGGUAGCAAACAGG